rnacentral:sRNA from 1 species
UGGCUUCACCAUGACGUCCUUGGCCGCGCUGCAGGUGGGCGGACACGGCGAGCGGCUGACGCAGUGUCGCGAGGUGGUGCUCACCACAUCCAAGGCCAUCCCGGUGCAGGUGGAUGGCGAGCCCUGCAAGCUUGCAGCCUCACGCAUCCGCAUCGCCCUGCGCAACCAGGCCACCAUGGUGCAGAAGGCCAAGCGGCGGAGCGCCGCCCCCCUGCACAGCGACCAGCAGCCGGUGCCAGAGCAGCUGCGCAUCCAAGUGAGUCGCGUCAGCAUGCACGACUAUGAGGCCCUGCACUACGACAAGGAGCAGCUCAAGGAGGCCUCCGUGCCGCUGGGCACUGUGGUGGUCCCAGGAGACAGUGACCUAGAGCUCUGCCGCGCCCACAUCGAGAGACUCCAGCAGGAGCCCGAUGGUGCUGGAGCCAAGUCCCCGACAUGCCAGAAACUGUCCCCCAAGUGGUGCUUCCUGGACGCCACCACUGCCAGCCGCUUCUACAGGAUCGACCGAGCCCAGGAGCACCUCAACUAUGUGACUGAGAUCGCACAGGAUGAGAUUUAUAUCCUGGACCCUGAGCUGCUGGGGGCAUCGGCCCGGCCUGACCUCCCAACCCCCACUUCCCCUCUCCCCACCUCACCCUGCUCACCCACGCCCCGGUGAGUCCUGGUGUCCCGUCCCUCCAGCCCCUGGCUUUCAGCCCCACCUGUAAGCCGAUGACUUCUGAAUCCCUGCUUCCAGCCCCUCCACCAGUUAACUAAAUGGUAUCAACCUGAACCUGGCCAAAGCCCACCUAA